rnacentral:rRNA from 1 species
GCUCAGUAACACGUGGCCAAACUACCCUAUAGACCCAGACAACCUCGGGAAACUGAGGCUAAUCUGAGAUACGAUUCUCUCGCUGGAACUGCAGAGAAUCCGAAACGCUUCGGCGCUGUAGGAUGUGGCUGCGGCCGAUUAGGUAGACGGUGGGGUAACGGCCCACCGUGCCAAUAAUCGGUACGGGUUGUGAGAGCAAGAGCCCGGAGACGGUAUCUGAGACAAGAUACCGGGCCCUACGGGGCGCAGCAGGCGCGAAACCUUUACACUGCACGCCAGUGCGAUAAGGGGACUCCGAGUGCGAGGGCAUAUAGUCCUCGCUUUUCACCACCGUAAGGAGGUGGUAGAAUAAGUGCUGGGCAAGGCCGGUGCCAGCCGCCGCGGUAAUACCGGCAGCACGAGUGAUGACCGCUAUUAUUGGGCCUAAAGCGUCCGUAGCUGGCCGUGCAAGUCCAUCGGGAAAUCUGCUCGCCUAACGAGCAGGCGUCCGGUGGAACCUGCAUGGCUUGGGACCGGAAGACCAGAGGGGUACGUCCGGGGUAGGAGUGAAAUCCCGUAAUCCUGGACGGAC